rnacentral:rRNA from 1 species
AAUCAACGCUGGCGGCGUGCCUCAGACAUGCAAGUCGAACGAUUAAACUUUCCUUCGGGAAAGAUAUAAAGUGGCGCACGGGUGAGUAACACGUAGGUAAUGUACCUUUGGGUGGGGAAUAACUUAGGGAAACUUAAGCUAAUACCGCAUAAUGCAGCGGCUCCUUCGGGAGACAGUUGUUAAAGAUUUAUCGCCUAAAGAGCAGCCUGCGGCAGAUUAGCUAGUUGGUAAGGUAACGGCUUACCAAGGCGACGAUCUGUAUCCGACCUGAGAGGGUGGUCGGACACACUGACACUGAAUAACGGGUCAGACUCCUACGGGAGGCAGCAGUC